GGAAGAAUUAAUAACAUGCAACGACCGUACUAUAGCCAACUUAUUAAAUGAUGAUCCAAAAUCAGGAAGUCAAAUGCAGUUUGAGAUUUAUUAAGAAUAAUGUGAUAAUAAUAUAGGAUAUAGAAGAGGUAGGCUUGAUCAUUAUUUUCACACUCCAUCACAGCAGGUGGCGGUAUGCAUCUUUAAAAUUGGUUCGUAACCUGCCAUUAAACUAAAAGAAGAAGAUGAAGAUUGUAACGUCAGCUGAGGUGGCUCAUCGUAAGCAUUAGUGAUCCAAGCACUACGUCGAGUUUGCCGUAAGCUUACCUCAUAGCCAUCAUAAGCCAGGUACGCUGACGGAAGGGUAACGUAACCACACGGAAGAGCCAAACACAAAAGAAGCAGCAGUAACAACAGAAGACAGUUUGGUCAGAUUAUUUACCUAGUAUUUAUUCACAAGAUUGACCGAAGCUGAUUUAGAUGACCAAAUUAUGAACAUUGUGACCCACCCUGAGGCUGUAAGAGUGUGCCUGAUGAGAGAAUGCAUACUUUUGUAGGACUUAUACUUUUAUAAGGAGUAAUAGGACUUAAUAUACUCAAGAAGACCAAGCGAUCCUUAAGGGACUGUACAUGCUGGACUUACAGGUACUUUAAAAAAAAAAAACGUAUUAUUCUUCUUAACUUAAACAUGCAUGCUUAUUCUUUCUGCUAUUGCCUGUUUUAUUAUUAGUAAACAGUUUUGUUUUAAAUUGUUAAAAUAUUUUUAUCCUUUUUCAGAUGAUAUUUUUGUUAAAGAUUUGUAUUAUCUACAUGUCAUGUCUGUGUUUAUUUCAAGUGCAAACAGUAGAACUGUCACAAAUGAAUAUAUCUAUGACUUUGCACCUGCACUUAAUGUAGACAUUUUUAAGCAUUUAAGGUCAAAAUCAGAGUGCAACUUUUACUUUUCAUACUAAAUGAAAUUUUCAGCCCCAAACAGCACUUGAUUACAGAAGAGUUUUCACUUGUUAACCUGACUGAUACAACAACCAUCACACCAAACAUUCCAAAACCUGUUUCUGUCUAAUGAAACAAUCAAUGAAUUUGGGCAACCAGUAUCUGAUUGAAUACUAUAGCUAAAAGUGUGUCAUGAUUUUGGUCUGAUCGGUUGUUGCUGUUUAUAUGUUUGUACGCUGUGUGUUUUGUCUUUGUUUUGACAGGUGGCCAUGCACAUACCAGUCAUUGUCUUAAGCCCAGGAUACACUGCAGGAUUUUUGCUCUCCUAUAAUAUCAUUACUUUAUCACACAGUGCGACACGGAUCAUUUAAACGUGGGUACGACAAGCAUAGACUGUACAAUGAUGACACCUAUUGACUCAUAGGUUGUGACGACUGUGACUCCAGUUAAGUGCAAUGUCACCAGCAUGCGCUAGUGGUAAACAAAUACUGGUACGCUGGUCGAUAUAGGUCCACCGAAGAGCCACAAUCACAGAAAUUGCCACAAAUGUUUCACGAUGGUAAUCUUUCGUUUGUGACCGCCAAAAAUUAUGCAGUGUAUCCCGGGCUAUAUCCUCCCCUCCCUCUAGUCAUCUCAUUAAUUAUGAAAUGCACUGUCAGUGCUUGUUCUUUCUGACUCCUCUCUGUUCUCUCCAGAUUGAGCCCUGAUGCCAUCUGCCCCGUUCUCCCAGCCUCAU